rnacentral:rRNA from 1 species
GACGAACGCUGGCGGCGUGCUUAACACAUGCAAGUCGAACGAUGAAGCUGGAGCUUGCUCCGGUGGAUUAGUGGCGAACGGGUGAGUAACACGUGAGCAAUCUGCCCUUGACUCUGGGAUAACUGCGGGAAACUGUAGCUAAUACCGGAUACUUUCACUGGAAGGCAUCUUCUGGUGAAGAAAGAAUUUCGGUCAAGGAUGAGCCCGCGGCCAAUCAGCUUGUUGGUGAGGUAACGGCUCACCAAGGCGACGACGGGUAGCCGGCCUGAGAGGGUGACCGGCCACGCUGGGACUGAGACACGGCCCAGACUCCUACGGGAGGCAGCAGUGGGGAAUAUUGCACAAUGGGCGCAAGCCUGAUGCAGCAACGCCGCGUGAGGGAUGAAGGCCUUCGGGUUGUAAACCUCUUUUAGCAGGGAAGAAGCGAAAGUGACGGUACCUGCAGAAAAAGCACCGGCUAACUACGUGCCAGCCGCCGCCGUAA